rnacentral:rRNA from 1 species
AGGACGAACGCUGGCGGCGUGCUUAACACAUGCAAGUCGAGGGCACUUUGGGGGCAACUCUGGAGUGACCGGCGAACGGGUGCGUAACACGUGAGCGACCUUGCCUCGUGGUGGGGGAUAGCCGGCCCAACGGCCGGGUAAUACCGCAUAGGGUAGUUCUUUCGCAUGGGAGAACUAGCAAAGCCGUGCAGCAAUGCACUGGCGCCACAGGGGGGGCUCGCGGCCUAUCAGCUAGUUGGGGGGGUAAUGGCCCACCAAGGCGACGACGGGUAGC